AACCCGAGAGACGUCGGGCCGUUUCCCCGGUUCGGGGGACAGGGUGACGAGGUGGUGCAUGGUUGUCGUCAGCUCGUGUCGUGAGAUGUUGGGUUAAGUCCCGCAACGAGCGCAACCCUCGACCUUAGUUGCCAGCAUUCAGUUGGGCACUCUAAGGUGACUGCCGGCUAAAGUCGAGAAGUGGGGAUGACGUCAAAUCAUCAUGCCCCUUAUGACCUGGGCUACACACGUGCUACAAUGGGCGGUACAAAGGGUCGCGAACCCGCGAGGGGGAGCCAAUCCCAAAAAGCCGCUCUCAGUUCGGAUUGCAGGCUGCAACUCGCCUGCAUGAAGCCGGAAUCGCUAGUAAUCGCGGAUCAGCAUGCCGCGGUGAAUACGUUCCCGGGCCUU
rnacentral:rRNA from 1 species